rnacentral:rRNA from 1 species
GACGAACGCUGGCGGCGUGCUUAACACAUGCAAGUCGAACGGUAAGGCCCUUCGGGGUACACGAGUGGCGAACGGGUGAGUAACACGUGGGUGAUCUGCCCUGCACUUCGGGAUAAGCCUGGGAAACUGGGUCUAAUACCGGAUAGGACUCCUGGCUUCAUGGUUGGGGGUGGAAAGCUUUUGCGGUGUGGGAUGGGCCCGCGGCCUAUCAGCUUGUUGGUGGGGUGAUGGCCUACCAAGGCGACGACGGGUAGCCGGCCUGAGAGGGUGACCGGUCACAGUGGGACUGAGAGACUGUCCAGACUCCUACGGGAGGCAGCAGUGGGGAAUAUUGCACAAUGGGCGCAAGCCUGAUGCAGCGACGCCGCGUGAGGGAUGACGGCCUUCGGGUUGUAAACCUCUUUCAGCACCGACGAAGCGCAAGUGACGGUAGGUGCAGAAGAAGGACCGGCCAACUACGUGCCAGCCGCCGCCGUAA